GACGUAGGGCGCGAGCGUUGUCCGGAUUUAUUGGGCGUAAAGAGCUCGUAGGCGGCUUGUCGCGUCGACUGUGAAAUCCCGCGGCUCAACUGCGGGUCUGCAGUCGAUACGGGCGGACUAGAGUUCGGUAGGGGAGACUGGAAUUCCUGGUGUAGCGGUGAAAUGACGCAGAUAUCAGGAAGAACACCGGUGGCGAAGGCGGCUCUCUGGGCCUUACCUGACGCUGAGGAGCGAAAGCGUGGGUAGCGAACAGG
rnacentral:rRNA from 1 species